rnacentral:rRNA from 1 species
AUUGAACGCUGGCGGCAGGCCUAACACAUGCAAGUCGAACGAGUGGCGGACGGGUGAGUAAUGUCUGGGAAACUGCCCGAUGGAGGGGGAUAACUACUGGAAACGGUAGCUAAUACCGCAUACCAUCGGAUGUGCCCAGAUGGGAUUAGCUUGUAGGUGAGGUAACGGUUCCCCUCGGCGACGAUCCCUAGCUGGUGUGAGAGGAUGACCAGCCACACUGGACCUGAGACACGUUCCGGACUCCUACGGGAGGCAGUAGUGGGGAAUAGUGUACAAGGGGCGCAAGCCUGAUGAAGCCAUGCCGCGUGUAGGAAGAAGGCCUUCUGGUUGUAAAGUACUUUCCGCGGGGAGGCGUUACCCGCAGAAGAAGCACCGGCUAACUCCGGGCCAGCAGCCGCGGUAAUAC